GUAUAGCUCAGUGGCAGAGUAUAUGCUUAGAGUGUAUGCUUAGCAUGCACGAGGUCCUGGGUUCAAACCCCAGUAC
rnacentral:tRNA from 1 species